rnacentral:rRNA from 1 species
GACGAACGCUGGCGGCGGGACUAAUACAUGCAAGUAGGCCACAGUCGCGUACGGGUGAGUAACGCGUAGGAACUUACCUAUUAGAGGGGGAUAACAAUGGGAAACGAUAGCUAAUAACGCAUACUAGAAGAAGGACCUGCGUUGAAUUAGAUAGUAGGUAGGGUAAUGUCCUACCUAGGCAACGAUACAGAGCAGACCUGAGUGGGUGAUCGGCCACACUGUAACUGAGACACGGUCCAGACUCCUACGGGAGGCAGCAGUGGUGAAUAUUUGACAAUGGUCGAAAGCCUGAUCCAGCCAUGCCGCGUGUGUGAAGAAGGUCUUCGGAUUGUAAAGCACUUUAAGUUGUUAGUCGUUACCAACAGAAUAAGCACCGGCUAACUUCGUGCCAGCAGCCGCGGUAAUUC